rnacentral:rRNA from 1 species
AUUGAACGCUGGCGGCAGGCCUAACACAUGCAAGUCGAGCGGAUGAAGGGAGCUUGCUCCUGGAUUCAGCGGCGGACGGGUGAGUAAUGCCUAGGAAUCUGCCUGGUAGUGGGGGAUAACGUCCGGAAACGGGCGCUAAUACCGCAUACGUCCUGAGGGAGAAAGUGGGGGAUCUUCGGACCUCACGCUAUCAGAUGAGCCUAGGUCGGAUUAGCUAGUUGGUGGGGUAAAGGCCUACCAAGGCGACGAUCCGUAACUGGUCUGAGAGGAUGGUCAGUCACACUGGAACUGAGACACGGUCCAGACUACUACGGGAGGCAGCAGUGGGGAAUAUUGGACAAAGGGCGAAAGCCUGAUCCAGCCAUGCCGCGUGUGUGAAGAAGGUCUUCGGAUUGUAAAGCACUUUAAGUUGGGAGGAAGGGCAGUAAGUUAAUACCUUGCUGUUUUGACGUUACCAACAGAAUAAGCACCGGCUAACUUCGUG